GAUGAACGCUGGCGGCGUGCUUAACACAUGCAAGUCGAACGGAAAGGCUCCUGCUUGCAGGGGUACUCGAGUGGCGAACGGGUGAGUAACACGUGGGUGAUCUGCCCUGCACUUCGGGAUAAGCCUGGGAAACUGGGUCUAAUACCGGAUAGGACGAUGGUUUGGAUGCCAUUGUGGAAAGUUUUUCGGCGUGGGAUGAGCUCGCGGCCUAUCAGCUUGUUGGUGGGGUAAUGGCCUACCAAGGCGUCGACGGGUAGCCGGCCUGAGAGGGUGUACGGCCACAUUGGGACUGAGAUACGGCCCAGACUCCUACGGGAGGCAGCAGUGGGGAAUAUUGCACAAUGGGCGCAAGCCUGAUGCAGCGACGCCGCGUGGGGGAUGACGGCCUUCGGGUUGUAAACUCCUUUCGCUAGGGACGAAGCGCAAGUGACGGUACCUGGAGAAGAAGCACCGGCUAACUACGUG
rnacentral:rRNA from 1 species